rnacentral:rRNA from 2 species
CUUCGGGGACAAAGUGACAGGUGGUGCAUGGUUGUCGUCAGCUCGUGUCGUGAGAUGUUGGGUUAAGUCCCGCAACGAGCGCAACCCUUGAUUUUAGUUGCCAGCAUUUAGUUGGGCACUCUAAAGUGACUGCCGGUGCAAGCCGGAGGAAGGUGGGGAUGACGUCAAAUCAUCAUGCCCCUUAUGACCUGGGCUACACACGUGCUACAAUGGAUAGUACAAAGGGUCGCGAAGCCGCGAGGUGGAGCUAAUCCCAUAAAACUAUUCUCAGUUCGGAUUGUAGGCUGCAACUCGCCUACAUGAAGCCGGAAUCGCUAGUAAUCGUGGAUCAGCAUGCCACGGUGAAUACGUUCCCGGGCCUUGUACACACCGCCCGUCACACCACGAGAGUUUGUAACACCCGAAGUCGGUAGGGUAACCUUUAUGGAGCCAGCCGCCGAAGGUGGGACAGAUAAUUGGGGUGAAGUCGUAACAAGGUAGCCGUAUCGGAAGGUGCGGCUGGAUCACCUCCUUUCUAAGGAA